rnacentral:rRNA from 1 species
ACUGCUCAGUAACACGUCGGUAACCUGCCCUGUGGUCGGAAAUAACCUCGGGAAACUGAGGGUAAUGUCCGAUAGGAGAUUUGGCCUGGAAUGGCAUUUCUCCCAAACACGUGCCAUAGGAUGGGCCGGCGGCUGAUUAGGCUGUUGGUGGGGUAACGGCCCACCAAACCGAAGAUCAGUAUGGGCCUUGAGAGAGGUAGCCCAGAGAGGGACACUGAGAUACGGGUCCCAGCCCCACGGGGUGCAGCAGGCGCGAAACCUUUACAAUGCACGAAAGUGUGAUAGGGGGAUACUCAGUGCUUACGCUUAUGGUGUAGGCUUUUUUCGAUCGUAAAUAGAUCGGCGAAUAAGUGGUGGGUAAGACUGGUGCCAGCCGCCGCGGUAACCCCAGCGCCACAAGUGGUCAUCGCGAUUAUUGGGCCUAAAGCGUUCGUAGCCGGUUUGGUAAAUCUCUUGUGAAAUUGUUCGGCUUAACCGGACAGCGUGCAGGAGACACUGCCUGACUCGAGACCGGGAGGCGUAAGAAGUAUUCCAUGGGGACUGGUAAAAUGGGAUAAUCCAUGGAAGACUACCGAUGGCGAAGGCAUCUUACGAGAACGGAUCUGACGGUGAGGAACGAAGCCAGGGGAGCGAACCGGAUUAGAUACCCGAGUAGUCCUGGCCGUAAACGCUGUGAGCUAGGUGCUGCGUAUCUCAUGAAGAUGCGCGGUGUCGAAAUGAAGAUGCUAAGCUCACCGCCUGGGAAGUACGGUCGCAAGACUGAAACUUUAAGGAAUUGGCGGGGGAGCA